UAGUUUUUUCAAAAAAAAAAAAAAAAGACAAGACCAAAUUCGACAGUUUCCCCCUAUUUCGGGUCUUACGAAUCGAACUGCAUCAUUACUUUUUUGAGUUACAAUCAUGGUUUCAUACAAAAUUUGUUUUUGAAGUUUUUCAUCAAAGUGGCCCAUUGUAAGAGAAAGGCACAUUUUUCUUCGGUCUCUAACUUUUUUAAUGUUGACUUUUUUGGUAAACUUUCUUCGGCAAAGCUUCUCAGAAUAAGCCCGUCUUUAAGUUCUUAGAUGACUGUAAACCCCAAAAUCAAUGUUUUUUGUGUCCUUAUAGCCAAUAUGUCGAAAAAACUGAAAUUUAAUCCAUUUUUUUAAUGUUUUUUCCCUCACGUUUCGUCAAUAUUUUAAUUUACCCUUUGAUACUUAUUCAUUAAGCAAAGACAACGUUCUGAGCAAACUAACCAUUAGAAAAAAAACUUAACAAAGUUUGUAUUUUUUUAAAAAGGCUACACUAACUAUGUUUGUGUGCUAUUUUAUUUUUACAUUAAAAACAAGUAAGGAAGGGCUAAGUUCGGGUGUAACCGAACAUUUUAUACUCUCGCAAUUUAUUUAUUUAACUUUAUUUAUAUUAAUAAUACACAAUUUGACCCACAUAUUCGUCAUAUAUAGUGCAUAAACUCCAUUGAAAGUUGGAAACCAUAAUAUUAGGUUAGAAGCACCGAGGCCCUCGUGUUCGAUAUAUGGGGCCUUAAAAACCUAUGGUCCGAUUUCGGCGAUUUUUAGAAUGGGGCUGCCACACUAUUAACAUAGUAUUUGUGCAAAGUUCUGCACCGAUAUCUUCACUAGUGCUUACUUUAUAUAUUGUAAUGUAAACAAUUCGGAUUGUCUUCAAAGUUCUGGUAUAUAGGAAGUAGGCGUGGUUGUGAAGCGAUUUGAACAUAUUAUUGGGAUGUAAGGAAACUAUUACAAACCAAUUUUCAUUGAAAUCGGUCGAGUACUUCCUGAGAUAAGGUUUUUGACCCAUAAGUGGGCGACGCCACGCCCAUUUUCCAUUUUGUAAAAAAAUCUGAGUGUAGCUUCCAUCUACCAUUUCUUAUGUGAAAUUUAGUGUUUCUGACGUGUUUGGUUAGUGAGUUAACCCACUUUUAGCAAUUUUCAACCUAACCUUUGUAUGGGAGGGGAAACGACUGAAGAAAUUUUGGUUUAUAUAGCUCUAUUGGUUUGCGAGAUAUAUACAAAAAACCUAUUUGGGGCGGGGCCACGCCCACUUCCCCAAAAAAAAUUACAUCCAAAUAUGUCCCUUCAUAGUGCGAUCCUUCAUACCAAAUCUUAUUUCCAUAGCUUUAUUUAUGGCUUAGUUAUGGCACUUUAUGUGUUUUCGGUUUUCGCCAUUUUGUGGGCGUGGCAGUGGUCCGAUUUUGCUCAUUUCCGAAAGCAACCUUCCUAUGGUGCCAAGAAAUAAGUGUGCCAAGUUUCAUCAAUAUAUCUUAAUUUUUACUCAAGUUACAGCUUGCACAGACGGUCGGACGGACGGACAGAUAGACAUUCGGAUUUGAACUCCAUUCUUCACCCUGAUCACUUUGGUAUAUAUAACCCUCUAACUCGUUUAGUUUUGGGUGUUACAAACAACCGUUAUGUGAACAAAACUAUAAUACUCUCUUUAGCAACAUUUGUUGCGAGAGUAUAAAAAUGGAUUAAAUUUCAGUUUUUUCGACAUAUUGGCUAUAAGGACACAAAAACAUUGAUUUUGGGGUUUACAGUCAUCUAAGAGCUUAAAGACGGACUUAUUCUGAGAAGCUUUGCCAAAGAAAGUUUACCAAAAAAGUCAACAUUAAAAAAGUUAGAGACCGAAGAAAAAUGUGCCUUUCUCUUACAAUGGGCCACUUUGAUGAAAAACUUCAAAAAAAAAUUUUGUAUGAAACCAUGAUUGUAACUCAAAAAAGUGAUGGUGCAGUUCGAUUCGUAGGACCCGAAAUAGGGGGAAACCGUCGAAUUUGGUAUUGUCUUUUUUUUUUACCUAUCACAGUGUAAUGAACGCGAUCACCGACGUUGAAGUCGCAGCGACUGCAAAAUGAAAUUAGAUGAAAACAACAGAAUAUAAAAAGAAGUUGUUGACAUCUGGUCCAUUGGUUUUGUGUCUUCUGCAGUUUGUGGUCAGUGCUAAAGUGCGAUAUUGUUUUUGGAACUAGUAAAAUUAUUUGUUUCGUGGUGUUUUAGUUUGAAAUAUUAUUGAAAAUAUAAUUAAAAUGAGUGAAUUGUCAGCAAAGGCUAUUAAUUUCAUGAAUGUCAAGGACUUUAUUGAUUUUGACACGAAGCUGCUGUUGAACGACAAAAUAACAUCUCAGCUGAAAAAUAUCAUAUAUAGAGUUGGAGGAAAGGAUUUCCCUUCAUUCCUAGGAAUGGCAUUGAAAUCCAUUAUAUCGGAUGCUAUGGCCGUUAAUUUAACUUGGCGUGGAACAAAUGACAAACCCAGUAUCCAACGCUUUACAACAUUUGCACUAAUAAAAAAUGCCUGUCAUUCCAAAUAUUCGAACUCGACCGAUAUGGAUAUAAAUAAAGUGGGUCAACAGCACAUACUUCACGCCCGAGACAGAGUACAAAAAAAACAAACAAAC